GUGGCUGUAGAUCGGGUUGCCCCGGCUUCAUCGUGGGGGAUUGCAUACGGUAACUUUGGAUCUCGUAUAGCAGGAAGAAUAUCCAAACGAAAAGGCAUUAACACGUGGCCACGAUUGGCCAACUCGAGGCGUUACUGGGCAUCUUGGUGGGGUUGCAAAGGUGGAACUUGUAGAAGAUGUUGCAACGGAUCCCCCGGCGAACAUUUCCUGCGACCGCAAGCAAGUCCGACCAUGGUUGCGUGUCUCCACCUUAUGAGACGUGAAGAAUCCACUCUUCAUCCCAUUGUGGAUUGCUCAGCUUCAAAGGAGCUGUGAAAUGAGUUCUGCAGAUAUGCUGUGUGUAAUUGGGCAUCCUGGCAGAAACAGAAACAAGAAUAAAACAUUUAUCUCGUGUCAAGAACAUGCUGAGCAACUUAGGAGAGAGAAUACCAUCUCAAAAUAGCAAACUUCC
rnacentral:lncRNA from 1 species